CGAAUAUGAGUUGUUGGAGUGAGACAGGGUUCUGGAGUUGGAUGAAGAUGAAAAGGGUCUGGGGCUAGCAUGGGAGGGUAGGAGAAUAAAAAGCAGGGCCUGUGUAAAAGUGAAUUGGGAAUCGGAGUAGUGGCGCAGUAUGCUGAAGCUGAUAAGAUAAGGUGGAUGGGUGUUGUGGUGAAGUGGAUAGAGGAGGACAGAGUUAGAUAGAUGGGUAGGAAUCAGAAAUGUAGUGGUGAAGUGAAUAGAAGAUGAUAGAGUUGGGUAGAUGAAUAGGAAUCAGAAGAGUAGUGGUGAAGUGGAAAGAAGAUUAUAGAGUGGGAUGGAUGGGUAGGAAUUGGAAGAGUAGUGGUGAAGUGAAUAGAAGAUGAUAGAGUGGGAUGGAUGGGUAGGGAUUGGAAGAGUAGUGGUGAAGUAAAUAGAAGAUGAUAGAGUUGGGUAGAUGAAUAGGAAUCGGAAGAGUAGUGGUGAAGUGGAUAGAAGAUUAUAGAGUGGGACGGAUGGGUAGGAAUUGGAAGAGUAGUGGUGAAGUGAAUAGAAGAUGAUAGAGUUGGGUAGAUGAAUAGGAAUCGAAAGAGUAGUGGUGAGGUGGAUAGAAGAUUAUAGAGUGGGAUGGAUGGGUAGGAAUUGGAAGAGUAGUGGUGAAGUGAAUAGAAGAUGAUAGAGUUGGGUAGAUGAAUAGGAAUCGGAAGAGUAGUGGUGCAGAGAAUAGAAGAUGAUAGAGUGGGAUGGAUGGGUAGGAAUUGGAAGAGUAGUGGUGCAGUGAAUAGAAGAUGAUAGAGUGGGAUGGAUGGGUAGGAAUUGGAAGAGUAGUGGUGAAGUAAAUAGAAGAUGAUAGAGUUGGGUAGAUGAAUAGGAAUCGGAAGAGUAGUGGUGAAGUGGAUAGAAGAUUAUAGAGUGGGAUGGAUGGGUAGGAAUUGGAAGAGUAGUGGUGAAGUGAAUAGAAGAUGAUAGAGUUGGGUAGAUGAAUAGGAAUCAAAAGAGUAGUGGUGAAGUGGAUAGAAGAUUAUAGAGUGGGAUGGAUGGGUAGGAAUUGGAAGAGUAGUGGUGAAGUGAAUAGAAGAUGAUAGAGUGGGAUGGAUGGGUAGGGAUUGGAAGAGUAGUGGUGAAGUAAAUAGAAGAUGAUAGAGUUGGGUAGAUGAAUAGGAAUCGGAAGAGUAGUGGUGAAGUGGAUAGAAGAUUAUAGAGUGGGACGGAUGGGUAGGAAUUGGAAGAGUAGUGGUGAAGUGAAUAGAAGAUGAUAGAGUUGGGUAGAUGAAUAGGAAUCGAAAGAGUAGUGGUGAGGUGGAUAGAAGAUUAUAGAGUGGGAUGGAUGGGUAGGAAUUGGAAGAGUAGUGGUGAAGUGAAUAGAAGAUGAUAGAGUUGGGUAGAUGAAUAGGAAUCGGAAGAGUAGUGGUGCAGAGAAUAGAAGAUGAUAGAGUGGGAUGGAUGGGUAGGAAUUGGAAGAGUAGUGGUGCAGUGAAUAGAAGAUGAUAGAGUGGGAUGGAUGGGUAGGAAUUGGAAGAGUAGUGGUGAAGUAAAUAGAAGAUGAUAGAGUUGGGUAGAUGAAUAGGAAUCGGAAGAGUAGUGGUGAAGUGGAUAGAAGAUUAUAGAGUGGGAUGGAUGGGUAGGAAUUGGAAGAGUAGUGGUGAAGUAAAUAGAAGAUGAUAGAGUUGGGUAGAUGAAUAGGAAUCGGAAGAGUAGUGGUGAAGUGGAUAGAAGAUUAUAGAGUGGGAUGGAUGGGUAGGAAUUGGAAGAGUAGUGGUGAAGUGAAUAGAAGAUGAUAGAGUGGGAUGGAUGGGUAGGGAUUGGAAGAGUAGUGGUGAAGUAAAUAGAAGAUGAUAGAGUUGGGUAGAUGAAUAGGAAUCGGAAGAGUAGUGGUGAAGUGGAUAGAAGAUUAUAGAGUGGGACGGAUGGGUAGGAAUUGGAAGAGUAGUGGUGAAGUGAAUAGAAGAUGAUAGAGUUGGGUAGAUGAAUAGGAAUCGAAAGAGUAGUGGUGAGGUGGAUAGAAGAUUAUAGAGUGGGAUGGAUGGGUAGGAAUUGGAAGAGUAGUGGUGAAGUGAAUAGAAGAUGAUAGAGUUGGGUAGAUGAAUAGGAAUCGAAAGAGUAGUGGUGCAGAGAAUAGAAGAUGAUAGAGUGGGAUGGAUGGGUAGGAAUUGGAAGAGUAGUGGUGAAGUGAAUAGAAGAUGAUAGAGUUGGGUAGAUGAAUAGGAAUCGGAAGAGUAGUGGUGAAGUGGAUAGAAGAUUAUAGAGUGGGAUGGAUGGGUAGGAAUUGGAAGAGUAGUGGUGAAGUGAAUAGAAGAUGAUAGAGUUGGGUAGAUGAAUAGGAAUCGGAAGAGUAGUGGUGCAGAGAAUAGAAGAUUAUAGAGUGGGAUGGAUGGGUAGGAAUUGGAAGAGUAGUGGUGCAGUGAAUAGAAGAUGAUAGAGUGGGAUGGAUGGGUAGGAAUUGGAAGAGUAGUGGUGAAGUGGAUAGAAGAUUAUAGAGUGGGAUGGAUGGGUAGGAAUUGGAAGAGUAGUGGUGAAGUGAAUAGAAGAUGAUAGAGUUGGGUAGAUGAAUAGGAAUCGGAAGAGUAGUGGUGAAGUGGAUAGAAGAUUAUAGAGUGGGACGGAUGGGUAGGAAUUGGAAGAGUAGUGGUGAAGUGAAUAGAAGAUGAUAGAGUUGGGUAGAUGAAUAGGAAUCGAAAGAGUAGUGGUGAGGUGGAUAGAAGAUUAUAGAGUGGGAUGGAUGGGUAGGAAUUGGAAGAGUAGUGGUGAAGUGAAUAGAAGAUGAUAGAGUUGGGUAGAUGAAUAGGAAUCGGAAGAGUAGUGGUGCA